rnacentral:misc_RNA from 1 species
GUGAAUCAUCGAAUCUUUGAACGCAUAUUGCACCUUCUGGUAUUCUGGGAGGUAUGCCUGUUCGAGCGUCAUUACAACCCUCGCGCCUAGCGUGGUAUUGGACUCGCUGCAACAGCCUGUCUCAAAAUCAGUGGCGGCUUCGUUGAACCCCUAAGCGCAGUAAUGCUCGUUGCUUGUGGUGUUCUUCUAGGCCAGUCAGCAACCCCCACCAUUAAAGGUUGACCUCGAAUCAGGUAGGGAUACCCGCUGAACUUAAGCAUAUCAAUAAGCGGAGGA